rnacentral:rRNA from 1 species
UACGAAGGGGGCUAGCGUUGCUCGGAAUCACUGGGCGUAAAGCGCACGUAGGCGGGGCGUUAAGUCAGGGGUGAAAUCCUGGAGCUCAACUCCAGAACUGCCCUUGAUACUGGCGAUCUCGAGUUCGGGAGAGGUGAGUGGAACUGCGAGUGUAGAGGUGAAAUUCGUAGAUAUUCGCAAGAACACCAGUGGCGAAGGCGGCUCACUGGCCCGAUACUGACGCUGAGGUGCGAAAGCGUGGGGAGCAAACAGG